GGCCUCGAAUUCAGAAAUCCGCCUGCCUCAGCCUCCCAAGUGCUGGGAUUAAAGGCGUGCGCCACCACCGCCCAGUGGUUCCAGUUUCUUAAGAGGGUGUUGUACAUAGGUCACUUACAUGCCUAAUCAAAGUCACAUACAACUGUGUACACUUCUUUUUUUUUGCCAUAGGCAUAGAAGUUUAAUCCAUUUCUCAUACAAGGAGGCAACAGCAAGUAGUAGAAGGGUGAUCAUGUAUUGUGGCUUCAAGGGACCUCAUGCACAAGGCAGCAGAUGACCGGCCCUAGAACCUGCCCACCCACCCCCACAAGCUACUACAGUGGCUCCGGUGAAUUGAGUCCUGAAAAGAUACUUCCCAGCAAAUGCACCCAUAGUGAGGAAAGUAAGGGGUUCUCCUGCCCACUCUCAACCAGAUAGAGCAGUGCAAGGUGGUGAAGCCUCUGGAAGAACAGUUUUAUAUCGUUUCUAUGACAACACACUUCCUUUGGGCAGUACUUAAUGCAGAUUCUGCUCUCGAGGAGCAAGGCUCCUGUAGUGGGUCUUCCUCACUCUGCUGCUGUAGUGGAGUGGACACUGGGCCCUCUGCAGGGCCAGCAGCUCAGUCGUCAGCCUAGCAGACAUAUCCACACUGACCAAGUACAAGGUUUACUUGCUAAAAAGGAAGGCUUAGCUAGUUUCAGUUCCUCAUGAAGUGUUAUUUCCUGUUGAAAAGCAAAGAACUAAGCCAACCCUCUAUAAAAUUGCCAGUCCUUAACCGAGGCCUCAGUUACGGGAUAAAGGUCUCUCUCUCUCUCUUCAGUGCUCCUCUCCAGGGGUUCUGGGUUCUACUUGACACCCACAGGCUUCCACAGAUGGCUAAGAAGCAUGGCCUAUAUGGAUCAACCACCCACAUACUCAGUACAGUCAAGGGCAAAGGACAGAAAGUUGUGAGCAUGAAGCCUGAAGCAAAGGUUCCACCCAGCAGGCCAACAAGACCACACACUGGGGCUGGCUGUACCCUACAGCUGGUGACCCAGGUACUAGCAGAACAUAGGAAUACUGGCUUCACCACAGAUCCCUAUUCACACCCCAAACUAAAGGCUUAAGCUCACUCAGCUAUUUGCAGGAGUUCAGGGGCUCAGCUCCACUCCCUCCCUGCUCAGCCUCUGGGGAUGAUGAUGGGCUGAAGCUGUGGGGACCAUCUCUGCCUCUCUGUGCUGUGAACUCUGCAACAAUUCUUCUGUAAGAAACAAGGAGGAUGCCACAUCUCCUUCCUUGUCUAGGUCCUCAAAACCAUUCCCAUGAUCCUCCCUGGACACAUAGCACUUUGGAUAGCAGGGACCAGCAGUUGCUUGCAGUGCCUGAAGACUGGCAAGGGUACAGUCAGCUAAACAAGCCACUAGUCUCACUGUGUGAGUUAAUUAAUUAGUCCUUGGGGAGGUUGGGGAGUGGGGUAGGCAGGUCAGAGGGCUCUAUACCCCAGAUCUCCCGGGUGUAUUCAGUGAUGGUUCGGUCACUGGAGAACUUGCCAGAGCAGCCUAUAUUCCUGAUCACCUUUUUUGUCCACUACUUGGAAUUGCGGUAUAGAUGGUCCACCUGGGCCUGGCAUUGGAUGUAGGCUUCAUAGUCUGCAAGUACCUUGAAUGGUACAUCAGCAUGUUAACCACGUCCUUGAAGCAGUCUGGAUCUUUGGGAGAAAAGAAGCCACUGUUGAUCUGAUGAUCCACAACCUGCCUCAGCUCAGGCAGGCGCUCAUAGAAUUCUCUGGCAUUGUACCCUUUCUGGUCCAGGGCCUCAACAUCUUCUACCCGCAUACCAAAGAUGAAGAGGUUCUCCUCUCUGGCCUCCUCGGCCAUCUCCACAUUGGCACCAUCCAUGGUGCCAAUGGUGAGCGUUCCAUUGAGCAUGACUUUCAUGUUGCCUUCAUGUACACUUCUUACUUGGGGAAAACAUCUUCCUUUUUGUCUCCCCCCCCCAGCAUUACAAAAAUAUAUCUGACUGGCUACUCCUCCAAAGUUUAGCUUUACUAUCUAUGGCCAUUAGAGGGCCCAAUAUGUCUGUAUAGUCAGACACCCUAGCAGAGUGAAUUCUUGAGCGAAAAGAAUGAUGUAAUACUGAGCUUGUGCAUGCAUUUGUGAUCUGCUAGGACAGUUACAUUUGAAUUGACUUUUUUUUGUAUUCCAGCUAGUAUGUAUUUGUUAUUGUUAUACUGUUAUAGACAACUUAGAUAUCUUAAAGGGGUCUCUCUUCUCUUUCUCAGUGUGUAUCCCGGUCUGGCUCACUCGCACUUUGGAUUCUGCACCCUCCUGUUUAUUGGGAUUACAGAUUUGAAAUGAUAUGAAAAACAAAACAAAACAACCCAAACCAUCCUUUUGUCACAUGGGACAGAAGAUACUCCGUCUCAGUAUUGGGUGAAGUUGGCUGUGAUGUGCUCAUGAUUGAAGGGGAUAUAGUAAGCAACCCCUGGAAAAAGGCAGAGGAUAACACAUGUCACAGUGCACAUAAACUUUCCACGCCAAACAUCAGCUCAUUAACCUUGUUAGAUGGGUAAGGUCACCACAGCGAGAAGUGGGCAGAAAGAACCAGACCCAGAAACAAUGCAUGUGUAUCAUUUUCGGAGAGCAGCAAAUACCUAAGAUGACAGCAGCGUCCUCAAAUCUACUGGGAAAGUUUGAAAGCGUCUAUUUAUGGAAAUUGCCUGGUAAACACUGGUGUUCAUAGGACUGUUAAAUACUUCUGUAAAGUAUCCCAUUCCUUCCCCA